ensembl:lncRNA
UGGCUAACAGACGGUGCUUUUCAGCCACCUUUCACCCUUAAUAUUACGAUUAAGAUUACAGUUGCAAGUGUUAUUGGACACCUUGGGAAUGUAGUCAGGCAGCAGGGGCCAAAAAGGAGUUGAAGUUGUUUUUUUAAUCAAAAAACACAAUUUUUGGGAAGAAGUCCCAGGAUUGAAGUACAUUUUUAGUUUACACCCAAUAGAAAAAGAGAAACGGAGAGGCAGUAACCCUGUAUGCAUUCGGACAUUAUAUACUGUAUGUCUACUUGUAUACCGUGUGUGUGUGUGUGCUUUCAUACAUCUACAUGCUGUGUACAUGGAGUUCCUCUGGAGUCACUGGGCUGCUCAACAUGCAUUAAUGACACCGGCUGAAUUCAAAUCAGGUGCUCUCACGGGACAUCCUCCAUGUGUCUCUCGCAUGAAAACGCUCUUCUUCUAGAAGCCACUUCCUGUGCCAGGGGUGGAGCUGCUGCAAAGUGCUGAACCAGGAUAAAAAAAGAUGUGUGUGCUCCCAGGUGUUUUCCUGCCCCCCUCUGAGGAGGUAAAUCAUGCAUGUUUUGAUUUGACGAGCAGAUGGUGAAGAUGAGCUCCCCUAGCCAGUGAUGGCUUCCAGCAUGCACACACUGACCACCUCGGAAUGAAUGGAGUGUAAUGUGAAAGUAAUACACUCAAGGGCACACUUCUGCCGGCACUUCUUUGUUCUGCUUGAUUGCAUAUUUGACUGAAAGUGUAUUACAGUAAAUCUAGUGUGGCGUAUUCAGAUAUGUUUGUUAAUGAAUUGUCCUACACAAAUCAAAAAGUGCUAUUAGAAGAGCUAAACAUCCCAUUUGAAUUAGACUAUAAGUUAUUAUUAUACUGUAUUAUUUAUAUUAGCUGUUCCAAUUCCCUUAAUAGAGAAUGCUCUGCUUUAGACAUGCAGUGCAAGCAGUCUCAAAAGAAAACACAACCUCAAGGGUUUAUUCUUUUUUUAUUUCGCAUCUCUGCAAUUCCAGCACACUGACCUAAUUGUAGCCUGUUUUCCACUGAGCUUUUUGAGGGUCGUCUUCUAAAGUUGUAGCAAUGAAAAGCUCUAUUUGCUUUCAAAUUAGCAAAUAUUUCUGCAGGAAGCAGGUGGAACUUAUGAUUAAAAUCCACAGUUUAUUCCUACAGUUAUCACUAACCAUUUAGUCUUCAUUAUCAAGGUUUUUCAACUAACUAACUUUCAUAUCUUCAGAGGUCUAAAACGUGUCUUCCUUUAGAUCUUUGGGUUGCAAUGUUCAAGUAAUGCCACUUUCUUUAAUCUCAUAACAGGCUGUGCUUUGAUGGGCCCGGCAAUAACUAUGAUUGCUUGAUACUUACCUUACUUUUAGAUUUAGAGCGCAAAAUCCAAAUCAACCUGCUCUCAAUUUAAUCAGAAUUUUUUGACGAAUAUGUUCCCCAUAUAGUACACCUCAAUGUCCUUGCCCUUCCUUGCUUGUCAGUAAGACGGAAUGGGCGGAAAUUAGCUUCCAAAAGCCGCACCGUCUCCUCUUGUGUCGGAGAGCAAAGAGGCUAGGAGACAUUUGUUCAAACUGACCACAAAGGCACUUCCAAUAAGGCACACAAACUACUGGAUACACCACUGGCUUCAGACAUAUUAGGCCAAUUGAAUCCGAGAGACAGUUUAACGGCCCCCUCUCCUCCCAUCAAGCACCUCGGGCAAUUUAAUCCAUGUUUUGCAGCUUUGGUAAUUCAGCCUCCACUCAAACACCCCAAGAUACUUGUAAUUACUGACAAUAAUUGAGUUUGUGUCGUUGUGAAACACAGCUUGGGAUGGACGGGACUAGGAGGAGUGCAUUUGUUGUGCUCGUUUGGUAGAAUGACAGUGACGCAAAGCUGCAAAGACAAACAACGUGGCACCUAUUUAAAUGUUUGGUGCAAUGAAAUUAAAUGUGACAGAACGCGAGGAAAGGGGUAGCGGACCCCGCAGCCUCAUCCGGGGUGUUGUAAUUAACUCAUACGUAAAAGAAAUGCAAUGUUUAUGACAGCCGCCACGGAGCCGCCUUUCCAUCGGUCAGGUGGGGGGGGUGGCUCAUUGUUUCACCCGUCAACCACUGAUUGGAAAAGUUUACCUCCGAACUCUCUCUGAUUGGCAGACUGUGUGUUAUUUGCAUGAACUAAAUAUUUGUCAGCCAGAAUGAGCUUAUAAGAGAUUGCUGGAUAAUAUAACAUUUUAAUUUCCUAAGGCAACCGAAGGUUAGAGACUAUGGUAGUAUCUGAUCAAACCCUUUGGUCCACCAGGAUCGUAAUCAAGAACGUAAAGGGAUUCUUGUUUUAUAAUCACACUUAUGGACUAUGGACAAUAAUGGUUCAGCAUUUUCCGACGACUCACAGCACAUUGAGACUCGUCCCCAUUAACAUAAUUCACACACUGUAGUCACAGUUACAGUAGCAAGGAUGGGGUUAAGUGUCUUGCCCAAGGACGCAUCAACACACAGGUUAACAGGCCCUGGGAUCAAACCGCCAACCCUCUGAUUGGAGGACGACCGUGCUCUCCUUCACACACAGUCGCCUCUCACCUUUCAACUGCUCUGGUGAAAACUGCAAAAAAGACAAACUACAGAACUGUGGCUACAGCCCGCAGCUCCACAGUCUAAUUGUGUUCUAGAAAGUGAGUGUGUGAGGGGAGAAAAAUAAAUGGAACUUGUGUGCCCACCAGACCUGGCAUUGUGUAAAUACAGGUAAUACAAUAUGGGAGCAGUUGUUUGGCCACCGUGUUAUUGUUUACAGCUACAUUUCAAGUAUUGUUUGAGCGGCUGCGCUCGGCUGAGAUAUCAGACAUCUCUUGGUUCGUUGCCUGGGCUAUGAGCACGGAAAAGUGGCAUGCGGGAGGGCAGUGCACCAGGGUUCUGAUCUGCGGGGCGUGGUGGGGGGGGCGCGGGCUGGUCAACGCUUUGGCCGAACACCGCGCCGGUCCCGGUGUCCUCCACUGUCGUCAAGCUGCGUAAAUGAGUGCCAGGGCAAGCCAACAGCCGGGCCAAAUCACACACGCCGAACCCAGGCAAUGUCCUUCCGCCCCUGUGGAGGUCGCCGUAUUUGUUUUCAGGCUUAGUCACGGACAGUUUCUUCAGCUUUUUGUUUACGAGACUGUGGGAUGUUGUGUUGCAAGCCGUUGUUUGUUUGGUGAAGAGGGGGAGGGAGGAGGGGGACUACUAAAAAUCCCAACCUCUCUUGACCUCUGCAGGGUUCAGGGAGAUGGACAAAAUCAUGGCUGAGACUUGGAAGAAAGUAUGGAUUUCAAAGUUUGUCUCCACCAUAUAUUUGUGUAUUGUCCAUAUAUUUUGUGCAUUUUAUUUUUUCCCUCUACACACUCAACCGGACAGAUCUUGUUUGUGUCAGUGACCAAUUACCUUUAUCAACGAAUUUCGAAAACAUGUUUUGAAUGUCUUUCCUGUGCUUUGCCUGUAUGAAAUGCAUUUAAUUAUUUGGGGACUUUGUGGAUCAAACAAAUAAAUAUUUUCAAAAUCAGUGUUUCAUCUAAUGUUUGGUGUUCUUUUUCUCAACCACUUUGUAACUUGGUUAUGUAAUACCAAUAAAAAUCAAAUCAAAAGAGAAAUUUAAAUUUAAAUGAGCAGAACAAAUUUAAACAUAAUUUACCAAUAAAAUUUGGAAAGAUUAUUUAUUAUUUUCUGAUCAUCUUUUAAUAGUCACAUGCUAAGAUAUCAUUGGGGAAAUACAAAAAUCCUUGUAUUAAUGUAGUCAAUUACAAUCCCAAUGAAUAAUUGGGACUUGGUACACCAUUAUUGAAUCUCUGUACACAAUGAGCCGCUAUGCAACGUUUCAAGGGUGCUGUUUCCCAUUUUCACAAAUACCUCCCCUGGCACGCUUCCACAAUCUCUCUGCGGGAUUUCUUCAGGGCAAAAAAGUCUUUAGGCUUGUCAUAUUUAGUCCAUAUAUCCCACAGGGCCUGAUAUUUUUGCCAUGUGCUUCCUCUGUGUAUGUUAUUAAUCCUCAUUAGGUUGUGGCGAGGCUCUCAUUGACUGCUCCGAGGUCUCUGAACCUGGGGGACACCUUCUGUUCACAGAUGUGAGAAGUGGCCCAGUUCUUUCCAGGGAGUGACGCCCAACCCAAGGAGACGAGGCGAGCCUGGGAUGCGCUGCUUUAUACAGUGCUCUAUUCUGUUAAAACAGGUAUUUUUCUACCUGCUCGAGUGACGCACGUUACUUAAGUGAGCCGACAUAUAGGGAAUAAGAAGCCUGAUAGUACAACCCUUCUGCUGGCUGCAUCCCAAUGCAUCCAUGGCCUUUGUAAUCUCAGUGUGAUAUAUACAUGGAGAUGGGGAAGUUCGAGGGCAAGACGUAAGAAAAGUAAGACAUUUGGACACAGACCCUCUACAUUUUAACAAAACGUGAGGUGCGAAGUGAGUGACUUUCCAGAUGCUGUUCAUUAAUACAACAAGCAUGAUAUGCUGAGGCCUUUACCAAAAUAAUUCAUAUUGACUAUACUAAUCCUAAUGACAUGAUAGCACGUAGCACGCAAGUGAAGAAUCGCUAAUUUGGCUUGUCAUGCAAAGGGUUGAUUAGCAUUUUUUAUUAUAAUGUAAACUCGGGUAAUGAACAUCACAGGGAUUAGCUGUUUAUAUGGAUUAAAGUGUUGUAGGUAGAAUCAUUCAAAUAAUUAUCUUUUAGUAAUCAAGUUAUGCUUAUUUUGGGUCUUUAUGUACAAGAGGGAAGAAUCUGUUCAACAUGCUGCGUACGGGGAACACAGAAAAAUAGACCAGAAAUAUUUUGGGUUGGAGAACGAUUGCCAUCACAGACCACCUUGUCCAUACUCAUCACUGUGUUAGGGAGUGAAAUAGAAUAUGGAAAUUUUCAUAAAUGAAAGGUGACACCAGUCUAUAAUGAGUUAGAGGUGAUGAGUGAUAAAUAACUGCCACAGUGUUUCCCAAACAAGGUUAUAAGGGUGCAUGAUGUGAAGAGUGAUGGCUGGGCUUUAUUUCAAGCCAGCACAUGACUGAUAUGCAUGGCUUACUUUUGUAAUUGUCUUGGUGCAUUGGACCCAAAGACAGACAUAGCAAUCUCUUCAGCCUAGUAAUGUAGUAUGUGCUAAAAUGGCUUCAGAAGUGAAUUAUCACUUUGCUCCCUGGCACAGGCAUGCGGCCGCCUCUGGAGAUGAACAUCACAGUCACCUGGCCUCUGAUGCACCGCGAAAGAAACUAAGUGGUGCAGACUUAUCAUACUAGACUAGUGUGCAGGGGUAGCUGGGAGCACGGUGCCCCAGCUGGGCGGACUGACCGUCCUGUUAAGUGGAAGGUCACCCCGACCCCCUCUGGGGAAUCUGUCUCAGAGGGACCUGUAAACAGGAACUUUACAGGGGCACCUUUCCCACCGUUAGUCAUUAUGCUUCAACAGUAUCUGGGUCGUUUUUAAGUGCUAUGGCACGCUUUUCGUUCAAUUCAAUCUGAUUGUCAUAGAAACGCCACAUGAAGCACCAUCGUUACAGACAUGUUGUAUUCUCUUGCGCGAUCAUUCCAUGGAUAACCAAACAAAUAAACGUCAGCGCUCCAUCAGUGGAUCACAAAGUGAAUUAAGGGCUGGCUAUUUUUUUUAUAUAUAUGGUCAAUUGGAUGAAAAAAUAUAUAUCCCCUAGCUUUGAAUCCUGAAUGAGGAAAUGCCGCCAAAAAACAAACUUUUGCUCAUGGAAAACCAAAAAAUGCCAUGCAACUGGCUGUAUUCCCAUAGCAGCAUAACCAAUCUAUACAAAAUCUUGUUCUGCCAUUUCAACGUCUUUAUGACAUCGAUAUAAUGCAUCCAAUCGAUUGCUUGCAACCGGUAAGAAUCCAGAGCCGAGCUAAUGGCCUGCUCUGAACGGCGGAGCCACGAACUGUCAUCCAACUAGUUGAACAAAUUGUGAUUGUGGUGGACACUCCAUGGUUGAAAGUUAAAACAGUGAAAAACACCUUCAAGGGUAAAUCCUGUCAACUUACUAGUUUACGAACAACUAUAGACACCUGGCCUUGUGCAGUCAUGUCCACACCUUGUAAAGUGGACAUGACUGACCGGCAUUACAUACCGCAUUACAUAUAAGAGUUCACUAAUUUUACUAUUUUGUGCAUUAGUUCUCUCCAUGUUUUUGGCAAAGAACGGUGCGCGAUUGUAUUUGUCAUCAAAAUCAUGCAUAUAACAGCCAACAACUGUUUAUUAGAACUGUAACAUAUUAAAUGAAUUUAAAAUGCAGAAAAAUUAGUAUUUUUCUCUCCUUUUGUCUUUUUUUGUUGAGUGGAAUUAAUUGUAAACAUAAAUUUACUUGGAUUUGAAUGUUUUUCUAAAUCAAUAUAAAUGACUAUAAAUGCUUAAUCAGGAUGUUUGUACACAAUAAUUAGCAAAUACAAUGUUUAUUUUUAUUUUCUACAAAUCUCACUAUAGAGCCACGUCAGAGCCAUGCGUCCACCAUUAUUGUGAUUAAAAGCAAAAUUUGCUGAAGUGGCUACUAUAAUAUUUAAGUAUUUUUAAGUACAUGUGAUGUAUUCAAGUAUCAAAUGACAAUGUGCAAUAAAGGCUGAGAGGUUCCUCUAAAUGAACCUACACAGAAUUCUUAAAUCUGCGGCAUCCCCCUUGAGUUUCACCUCAUUGUUUUGCAGUCUGAGCCACAACUUUACUCCUUACCGCUGAGCACAGCUUAAGAGCAGCGGAAGGGCCAGAUAUUUCCCUCAGGAGUAUGUUGAGACGAGAAAGCAGAGCUAACAGAAUCUGAAUAUUGAACAUUCCUGAGGUGGACACAAGCAGACUCCAAAUAAAAAGCCCAAUGUUACUCCAUGACUGCUGCAUGUGUAAACAAGCAGUUGUUCACCAUAUCACAUUCACCAUGUCAAUAUAAGAGCAUGCAUGACCCAUGGCUUGUCACUUAUUGCAGGUUUUGAAGCCCUGGUUUAUGGAUGGACCGGUAAUUUGGAAGGAAAAUGAUACCGAACACUAUACACUAAUAAUCAUUCAUUCAUUUUCAUGCUGCCUGGCUGUCAUUGAUUUCUAACUCAGAAGCAUCAUUAAUACAACAGUAUAUCUUCUGCAUUGGAUACAAAAACAGAAAUCAUUCAUUAAAAUCUACCAAAUAGUAGAAAGUAAAACGGAAAUGUUGGCACUGGCAGAUCAUAGUGCCCCUUUAAGCAAUAAUAACAUUUUAGUAGUGGUUGUUAAAACUUUUUCACCUGUCCAUAAACCUAACUUUUCUGGCAUCUGACCGUUAUUCUGAAUUAAAACCUUUAUUGAGUAUGUUGUGAGCAUGUCAAAAAGGGCGUGCUUUGAAAUUUAUAAUCCUUUUUUUCUGGCCCUUGAGUUUUCAAACUUUUAAUUGCUGUUUAUUGGUUUCAUGGAUUAGCAUUCAACAGAAGCUAAGAGGAUUUAGUACUAUGCUUUCAGUUUCGGCUCAGUUGAAUGGCAGGGAUGGUUUGGGGAUGUGACCAUUGUGCAUUAAUUGAGUAAUAUGUUUAUCCAUGGGUCACUCCAAGUGUGCUGCAAUCGUUUCGUACUCCCGAAUCUCCCUUUAGUUGAGUCAAUAAACUGUGUUUAGCCAUUUUGUCUUUUAUUUUCGGAUGACCAGUCGCCUCCCUUUAUUAUUACAUAGGUUGGGAUUCAAGCCUACGGUAAUAAGCAAUACUGAGUCAUUUGUAUUCUGAAUUACACUUUUAUGGGAUGUGUAGCGUCACGGGGGAUUCCUAUGGACAACUAGGUUGGGGCAGUGCCAAAAUAAUAAUAAUAAAUAAUUAAAUAAUUAAAUAAAAAAUAAAUAAUGACUGUGGCCGCUUCCCAACAAAAACAAAAGUUUUCCCCUCUACUGGGUGGUCCAGGGAGUCUUACUGGUCUUUAAGUUGCUUCCAUCUCCCAGGCUCGUGGGGUGCUCCGGUGCAGCCAUUUUGGGGUGGUGCCACCGAUCCUGUGUGGGAAUGUAGCAGCCUUCCACCACGUGUCCCUGUGUGUUGCCACAUAUCCCUCUGCCCAGGCCUGACGCCCUCGGCAGGGUGAAGAAGGACCAGCUCCAGAUAGACCAAAGGGCAUCAUCCAGUACUGCCAUAGUCCUCCGGGGACUUUCAGAAGUCACCUGGCUGGGUGCGGAUUUCAUAUUCUACCACGUUUGUAGCCUAGGAGGACUGGAAGGUAAUCCUGAUUACCCUCCACCAGCUGUUGCUUGUUGCCGUUGGUGUGGGGAGAGGUCCGGACUGAACUGCACUUCUCCGGCUAGUUCUUUCGCCUCACUGGGGGGAAUACAAGUGAACAAUGCCUCUCAACCACGCCAUUUCUUAAGGAGUUUCAUAUGGUAGAUUUGUUCACUUUUCCUUUUUCCUGGUUGCUGUACUUUAUAAUUGACCUUCCCUGCACCAUCCUCUCAAUUAUCUCAUAAGGUUCCUGCCACGUAGCCAAGAACGUUCUACUGUGGAGCCCAAACUAGGACCCUGUCUCCGGGUUUGAACUUCCUGGGUUGGGCUGUUUGGUUGUAGACUUCCCUCUGGCAUUCUAUCUCGCAUCGGCACAUGUUCAAUCAUGCGGCGAUGGGGACAGGGUUGCUCCUCCCAUGUUUUCCAUGGCUAUGUCAAGUAGGCCUCUGGGUUUGUGGGAGUACAAUAGGUCAAGGGAGGAGAAACCAGUGGAAGGCUGUGGCAAUUCUCUUACCGUAAACAGAAGGUAGGAGAGUAUCUGGUCCCAGUUUCUUCCAUUUUUGUCAAUCGCUUUCUUCAGCAUGGUUUUGAGAGGUUUGUUUAACCUCUCCACUAGGCCGUCGGUCUGGAGGAGGUACGCUGACGUUCUCACCUGUUUUACUUGCAGAAGAGCGCUCAACUCCUUGGUGACCCUGUACAUAACGGGGGUCCCUUUUGAUGUAAGAAUUUAGGAAUCCCUACACGGCUGCUGAAGAGGAAGAGUUCUGCUAUUUGUUUAGCCUUUGCAUUUCUUGAGGGGAUGGCUUUCGGAUAACAGGUGGCGUAAUCAAUUAGGACCAGGAUGUACUGAUGUCCGUGAGUACUCUUUGGGAGUGGCCCCACAAUAUCCAUCCCUGCCUUUUCAAAUGGAGUUUUGGUAACGCUUUAUAUUAAGGUCCUUGUAACAACCAUUAAUUAAUAGGUAAUAAGGCCCUGGUAAGUCUUUAUAAGAUUCUUAUCAACAUUUAUAAGCCUAUAUAAGUGUUAAUAAUGGCAUUAUAAUACAAUUAAUAGCAGGCUAAAACAUUCAUAUGCAUCUUUGCUAUGCUUUUAUUCAUCUUUUUUUGUUUGCUUAUUAGUAUUAAAAUAUACUUUAUUGCUCAUCUAUUAUAAGUUAACUAUGCACUUGUUAACAGUCCUUGUCUUCACUUCACUCGUCUGCAGUUCCAAAUCCCCCAAUUCCCGAGUUUUGGUUCUGCAUCUCUGGAGUCUCCUGCCAAUGCCUUGGCUGCCACUGGAGGGGAAGGGCUCGGUUUGGCAACAUUAAUGCAGGAGUAAUUCAUAUCAUCAUUUUUAACCGCUGGGGCCUCUUUUGGGCUUCCCUCCACAGAAGGUGGAAGGCUGGACAGUUGCAGCCAAUCAGGACUGGUACAGGCAGGUCCUUGAUGACCCCCACCACAACGCUCCCCAUGUAGUGGUCAACCUCACCAUGGUGGUGGGGUACUCGGGUGUCCCGAUGCACACAAACCACCGGGGCUGCCUCGAUCAACUAAAUAGGGUCUCCAACACGGACUCUCCGACCAAGGUCUGGGCAUUUCCCAAGUCGAGUAAGGCCCAGAUCCAUCGUUGCUGCCCCAGUGGUGCCAAGCCUCUUUGAGGUGGGAGAGGGGGCAGGGUAGUCUACCUCGGCAACUUGUCCGGGCCAGAAGCCAUAGGACCUUUUCGGGCGAGGGUGUAGCAUGUCCGCCUGGUACUGCUCCACUGCUUCUAUUAACUCUGUAGUCAUUGUCAAUUUCUUGCUGCUGAUUAUCCUUUUAGCCCUCGUACGGGAGCCCCUUAGAUACCGUUCUAUGACCAAGGUUUCAAUAAUCUCUGUUGAACUGCUCUUGUCUGGUUGUAGCCAUCUUCUGGUCACUCGUCAGUGCCUCAAAGUGCCUCGAAGUAGCUCAUGCAUUUGGGCCCAAGGAGUUACCCCAUUUGGAAAGUCCAUUCAUGGAACUGUUGAGCCAUGCUAAAAACUUAGUAAGGCCAUGGCAGCUCAGUACCUUCCCCUUUUAGCAGGUAGUCAUUAUCCAUAUGGGCCUCAGCCAUUUGGGCCUCACCAGAUAGAAAAGGAGCCAGAAGCCCCACCCACAGGGCCCUUGGCCACUCCUCUCGAGUUGCUGUUGCCUCAAAAGUAUGCAGAUAAGCCUCGACAUCAUCAAAUAUUUAUCGGUAUUUGCAACCCUGGACAUGAGACCUUUAAACCACAAAAAUGAUAACAUGACAAUAUGUGAUGGCCAAAACAAUCUAUUCAGUACGUAGCUCUAGGCCAGGGGUGGCCAACCAGUCAGAGACUAAGCCACGUUUUUUACUGUGUUACCGCAAAGAGCCACAUCAUACACAUAUGCAAACAUGAACAUCACCCCAUCCCUUCCUCACACACUUACACACACACACCUAUUCUCAGCCAGAUUUAUUGUAAAUGUCACACACCAACAUGACAAUGACAGAAAUUGACUCCAACAGUAAGAGGCCAGUCAUUUUCCAAAAUGAACAUUGUGUGCACUGUCUCACACACACAAACUCUCAGUUCACCCACGUCCACAAACAAAAAUAUAAUAAUUGACAAUUGAAAAUGUUUCUUUCACUAUGCAUGUUGCUUAGUGGGACUUCUGGCAUUCCUUGAACAAUCCUCUUCAAAUCUGGCUUGUAUUCCGUUGUUGCCACUCAAAGCAAUUCUUUCACAUGGGUGUCAGUCAGAAUAGAUCGAUGCUUUGAUUUCACGUGUUUCAGGGUAGAAAACACAGACUCGCAGACAGAUGUUGACCCAAACAUUGACAGUAUCUUAAACGCAGCCUGUUUGACAUUGGGGUAAUUUUCCAUGGGCACGCUUUUCCAGAACUCAAUGGUCCCUUCCCUUAAAGCAGGUUUCAGCUGGUCCACCUCACAAAGAUCGAUCAUCUCCAACUCAGCCGUAGCCUCAUCCGUGAGUAGGGGGGCUUUCAAACAGUACGUCUCCGCAUUAAAUGGGUCAACGAGGAACGUAAUCGGUGGUCUUUUCAGUUGUAGAUCAUGGAACCGGGUCACAAAGCUUUUGUGCACGUUUUCAAUCAGUGUUGAAUAUCUCGCUCUUUGCUUUUUCAGGGCGGCACUGCAGACUCGCCCGCUGACUUUUAUCAGAGUAGGAAAAUGCGUUGAAUCUCCCUUCUGAAUAUGCGCCUUGAAAAGCUUCAGUUUGUUGACAAACACAAACGCACUUUGGACCAGGUCAGGCAGCAUUUUUAACUUACCCUGCAGGGUCAGGUUCAGUCUGUCCAAGUGACACAGCAUGUCGACCUAAAAGGCCAGAUCCAUAAUCCACUCGAGGUCCGGGAGCUCGGGACAGUCCUUGUCCUUCUCUUCCAUGAACAGUUUCACAGCAUCCAAAAGCUCAAAGAAGCGAGAGAGUACCUGGCCUUUUGACAGCCACCUCACGUGCAGUGGAGCGGCAAGUCACCUGGAAGCCCUUGGUCCAGCUCAGCGAUGAGAUUCUUGAAUUGCCUGUGGUUAAGCACAUGUGUGCAGAUGUAGUUGACAAUUUCCAUCACAGGCUUCAUGACGUUGUUUAGAUUCAAUGAUUUAGACACAAGUUGCUCCCUGUGGAUCAUGCAGAGGAAAUUCCAAAAUUCAGGAAAUGUUUGGUCAGCUUUGCACAAGCCCGUUCACAGAUCCGAUCAUGGCUGGCGCUCCAUCCAUGGCUAUUGUAGUUAGUUUCUGUAUGGGCAGUUUUGCUUUGGUAAAUGCAGCCAUCAAUGUUUCUUUCACAUCUAUGCCACGGGUUCUGUCUUUUAAGGGCACAAUAUCAAAGAGUUCUUCUUUGAUUCUUUGAUCUUUGAACAAUCGUUUGACACAGACAGUGUGAAUAUUGCCAACUGAGGCUUGUCUUGUAUGUCACAACUGUCAUCCAAUCCGACACUAAAAUACUCACAUGUUUCAAGGUCUGAGAGCAACUGUGAUUCAAUUGCUGUGUUAAUGUCCGAUAUUCUGUGUUCAACAGUGUGGCGGGAUAGUUGGACGUCUGAUACCAUUCGUUUUAGUUUUUCGUUUUUCAGGCAUUUUUUUAACAAACUCCCCUUCAUUGUAUGGCUUUUUAGACCGUGCAAUGUUCCAAGCCAGUUGAGACGAUGCAAGCGUUACAGUCUCUGAGUGCUUUGUAAAUGUUUGGAAAAACUGUAUCUGCUUUUCUGUCUGACUUUUCAAAGUGACCAACUUGUGUUCAGUCUCUUUUGGAAAUUCCUGGUCGAUGUUAGCAUGGAGUGGCGUUGAAGAUUUGAAGCUUUAAAAUGCGCUAAUGAUGCCUGACAUGUAAGACAGAAUGGCUUGCCAUUACGUUCAACAAAGAAAAAGAAACUCCCCCAUGUUGAUAGGUAGGCUUACUCCUUUGGCCUACCUGCGCGGCAGAACAAUGAUAUUCAGAGAAUGAACGGACAUGCUCAACUGCCCGCUCACUGGAGAGAUGGGUACACACAGAGAAAGGGGAGGGAACACUGCCCUUAUAUCGAAGUGGUGCUCUUGAUAUCACGACUCAGGAAACAGUUACAGUUACAUGCAUCCAUACACUCUUAACACCCCACUAAAAACGUCCUGUGUUCAUCUUCAUAUUUUCGUUUUGCUGUACAUUUUUUUCCCUGCCAUUUUGAGAGCGAACUGGACACAAAUUGUUUACUCAAAUGAGUUUGCCCCAAUUUAGAAACUUGUAUGUGAUAUUUUCAGCUCACGCACAUGCGCGUAUGACGAAAAUAUGGUAAUCAACUGAAGCAAAGCGAACACUCACAUAAAAAAAAAACACAAACACAAACCUCAAUAUGAAUGUAAGAGCCGCGGGUUGCCCAGGCCUGCUCUAAGCCUUCAUUUCAUUUGAAACACCUACACUAAUUAUCAGUACAUAAGUAUUUGUGUGUGAAUCAUUUUGUAAUGAAAUGGUAUACUGGAAAUGUAAUACUUUACUGUACCUCUGUAACAUACUAUUUUUUAGAAAUAAUGAAUGGUUCAUCCUUUUUCGGAUUUAUUGGAUCAGAGUGCUCCGCUCAGCUCUGAACACAAGAAAAAUCCAUCACAACUUUGUUUGUAUGAAAUCAUUUCAGGGACAUUAUUGCUUGGUUUCUCUCAUUACUUUCCACUUGUCUUGCCUUGUCCUCUGGGGUAAAAGCUGCCAGCAGGAGCCCAUUCUCCAUUCUGUUUGUGCUUUAAAAUUGAUAAGUGAAUCAGAGGAGUAUUACAUAUUAAUUAUUAAUUUUAUAAUGUGAAGCAGAGGAAAAGAAAAUUGCUGGAUCGAACUUGCUUACAUGAAGCCGAAAGAAUCUGUGCCCGGGAAAGGUGCCCUAGUGACCCUCCUGCAUACCAAUGGGGUGUUUUACAACCUAGCUACUAAUGGGAUGACACUGCACUCCUCCAUGUUGACUGGUCCUCUAAUAGCCUACUAGAUGGGUUAGAAAUGGUGAGCAGGCUCCCUCAGGAACUGGGACCAGGCCUACACAGAAAAUGUACUGUAAAACAUCUCUGGCUUUUUUUUGGUUUGUGUAACCAGUGGUCACGGCUGUGGCGUGACUCCCGCUAGUGUUAGGUAUCCUCCCUCUAUUCUGUCUGUCUGUGUGUGUGUGUGAGAAACUGGGCCAUAUCACCACACCUGGCGCAUCUCCACACCUGCUGGCAAUAAGCACUGCUUAAGAGCCCUGGGUUCCUCUACACCAGAGGUCUUCGACAGGGGGUCCGCGAAGGUACUGCAGGGGGGUUGCGAAAUUUAUGGUUCAUAAGACAAUUUUUUUCCCCACAAAUGUAAAAGUCUUCAGAAUCAGAAUUUUAUUUAUGGUCUUUAAAUACACAUUAACAUGAAUCCAACAUAUUGAAGCGAAUGGAUAAAUUGAUGGAGAAGACUUUAUCUGUCAGUCCGCAACACACACAUUCAGCUUCCCUCAGCAGCUCUCAAGCUGGGCACCGGUUCACUCACUGCUCCUUUCAUGCGAAUACGACACUCACAUCGCGUUUAUGCUCACGUCUAAAGAGCGUGAAGCUCAAAAAUAAAAGAUGGCGGACCAAACUCCGUAGAAUAGGGGGACCCUGCUCCACCUCGCCAUCAGUUUGGGGGACCUUGGCUUGAAAAACGUUGAAGACCUCUGCUCUACACUAAUCGGCAGAUUAUUCUUUGAGCUCAAUGGUAUUGAAUCUCGGCCACUCUAUAUCAUACGUAAACUUGAAGAGUUUGUUUUGCAUUUGCUUAUCUCUCUUUCCCUCUGCCUUGGACACUUGUGCAACAACCCUGCCACCGCCGCACACAUAGCCUUCCUGCUUUCCCUCUUCAGCACCACCGGACAUUCCCCUCUCCCACAAACCAUCCUCCUAUUAAACAUCAGGAAAAAUUAUAUACACACAUACAUAUGUUGUGAAGUGGAGCUUCUAAUAAUGACCCGAACACGUCUUGUAUUGAACGGUAACCUUUUUACUGUCUAAAAACAUAGACCUCGAUACAGGUUCACAUAUUGGAUUACAUCAAACAAAGACAAUGUCAACGCUACUUCCUGUUGUUCAACAAAAUAAAAGCACUUGCUGUUAAGUACGCUAUUUAAAUAAGCAGCGUUACAGAAGCAUUUUAAAACAAUUUACAUUUACAACAAAACAUUCUCCCGCCCGAUGAACAGUUGUUCAUUACCACUAAUUACUUCAAUUUAUCUCUAAUGGAUACAUCAACUGAACAGGUCUGCCUGUCGAUGUACAAACAGUACAGGAACGAACAAGCCCAUCCCUCCCAGGGAACAGUUCUUUUAUCCUGCCCAUCUUCCAGUUCUGCAUGGGCAUGUUGUCCUCUCCAAUCAGGACGACAUCUUCCAACUUCAGCACAGUGGGUGUGGGUGUCUUACACUUGUGGGCUGAUUUCAAGUCCAUCGGGUAAUCCUUUCUCCGGCGGGCAGAGGAGGGAUCCCACUCCCGGGAUGGACAGACUACAAUGGAUGCCAUGUGUACAGAAUGAACAAUGUAUAAUACAUUGCGGGCGACUGUGGGUGAGUGGGGAGCACGGUCGUCCUCCAAUCAGAGGGCUGUCGGUUCGAUCCCAGGCUCUGCUAACCUGCAUGUCGAUGUGUCCUUGGGCAAGACACCCAACAUUGCUCCUUUAGCUGCGACUACAGUGUGUGAUUGUUAGUUACUGAUGUGCAGGUGUCACUGUGUAUGGUUCUCCUGUCAUCAGUGUAUGAAUGGGUGUGAAUGGGUGAAUGAUGUCAUGUAGUGUUAAAGCUCUUUGAGUGGUCAGAAGACUAGAAAAGUGGAUUGGUAGAUUGAAGUUCAGUGGAGAUAGACGCAGAAAAAGAGGAGCGAAGAUAUUGAAACGCAAACAGGUCAUCAGGUUGUUUAUGUUUACACCAUCUCCUUUCCAAUGCUCGCAUGGUGGCUCUCACGGCACGGACCGAUUCAGACAGCCAUGAAGCCGGAGGCGAUUUGCCAGCCCGUUGUGUCGUAAGAGAGCAGAGAAAGUCGAGCGAGGAGGAAAGAGUUGAGGAGAGUUUCUGCGGCAGUGUUCGGAUGCAAGAGUGAGAAGGAGUCAGUUGAAGGGAGAGCUGAUAGAACAGAGAGGCAAGAAAGGAGGGAGAGAAGGAGUGAAUGUUGGGAAGAACAGGUACAUAGUCAGUUGAUGGGGCAGUGUUGUUAGUUAUAGAGAGUGGGAGAGAGUAGGAGAUGAAGAAGUGGAGUUACAGAGAGGUUAGUGAUAGAACAGUUUCUAGUGAAGAUGUGUCAAGGUGAUUGCCGGGUUUGUGAGUAGGAGAGGCACUGAGUGACAGAGCGAAAGAAGAAAGUAUGAGUAAGAGGUCAGAUGUUGAAGUCACCCAAGAGGAUAAGCGGAGGGCCAUUUUCAGGGAAGUUGGACAGGAAAAUGUCCAGUUCUUUCAAGAAAUGACCCAAAGAGCCUGGCGGACGGUAAAGGAUAACAAUAUUUAAUUGUACCGGGUGAGUAACUAACAGCAUAGAAUUCGAAAGACGGUAGGAUGGACGGCGGAAGAGGGUAAUGAGAAAAGCUUCAUUUGGGUGAAUUGAGUAAACCUGUGCUACCACCCUACCAGGGGGUCUAAAGGAGAAAGCAGGAGGGAGCAGCUGGGGUAGAUGUGUUCUCCGGUGUGAUCCAGGUCUCAGUGAGAGGGAGGAAGUCAACAGACUGCUGGAUAGCAAUGCCUGAGAUGAAGUCUGCCUUGCGAGUAGCUGACUGGCAGUUCCAGAGGCCUCCUCUGACAAGGUGCUGGACAUGUGUGGAGCGGGUGGGAUAGGUAAGAGAGGAGGUUACGAUUGAGAGCAGAUCUAGCCCGAGGGCGGUAGUAUCUGCGGGAAGAGAUUCGAACAGGUACAGGUAAGGGGGUCAAACACAUUAUUAAAAAUAGCAGAGGAAGGUGCCACAUUCAGAUGCCCCGAAGACUCCCUUGUCUUUGUCCUGCAAGCGGCGCAGCUACGCAAACGUUGAAGGUAAAUACCAAUCUAAACCUUAAUUUAGCAGACUUAUCAGACUAGCUAGGUUUAAAAAAAAAAAUACUUAAGUCUGAUUUCAGGUCGCCUUGAUGUUUGGAGGCCUUAGUCGAGAUGCAGGCUCACCAAUUCAGGUCCAGGAAGGAGAAUUUGAGCUCUACUUAACGGGGAAGUAGUCAGCGCAGCCGUUUAGGAGACAAAGGUUGAUGGCCCUCAGAAGAAACUGAUCACUGUCAGGGUUGAGGGUGGAAGGCAGGACUCAAAUGCAGACUUCUCCAAACAAAACACUUUAAUAGUCAAAAACACAGGAACCGGGGGCAAAAGCACAUAGGCAAAAAACUACAGAGAUCCAGGACGAAAGACAAGAACAAGCGUGGCAAAAGACAAUGACGCGACAAGUGACACAAGAGACACACGGCUAAAAUACACUAGGGAGGUGCAGGUGAUUGGACACAGGUGUAAACUAUUAAGACGAUCACAGGGGAUGACGGGACAAGGCAGGAAGUGAAGUUACCCGGGGACACAAGUGGCAGAAAACUACAAAAUAUAACAUGAAGUGAACCACACCGUGACAGAUCACCAUGGUUUUGACAAACAGAGUUGAAGGAUUCAAGUCUCUUCUGAAGCAGAAGAGAAGGCAAAACAGAGUUAGAUCAAACCUAGCAAAGACAGGAGGGCACGCCAGCAGUCAACGUAAAUAACAGAUUUACAGAGUCGACAGGAAGAACUGGCAGUAAAAACUGCAAGAGCUAAAGCAAACUAGCAAUCUACCUAAAACACUAGAAUCAACAACUAAGUUAGCAGACUAGCUUGGUUUAAAGAAAAGAUACAUAGUCCGAUUUCAGGUGCCUGGAUGUCUGAAGGCCGAGUAGUCCAGAUGCACUACUUUGGGAUAAGACCCAAAAGACAAUCUUUCAUUUCAGCCAUUGGAAUCCAAACGGGCCAAGACGCGCAGUAUACUUGGGCUGGGGUUGGGCAUAUUCUUCUUUUUAAGACCAGUUUCUUUCUUUGUGUGCAGCUUAAAAUGUGUGGCAUACAAUUGUUACAAUGCAUUAUUACGAAACAACGGCAGUGAGGAAAAUGUCUGAAAGCCUAAUUUUUCCAUCAACUCUCCUUGCAACAAACUAAUGAAUGACUGAGAGCUCAUUGCUGCUUAUAAUGCAGAAAGACAUCAUCGAUCUUAUUUUUUCCUGGAGCAUUGUUUUUUUGUAAUACAGUCUAUGGAGUAAAUGGCCCAAUGUGAAUGGUUUGACUAUUUUGGCUUUUAAAUUUUUGGAAAAGAACAAGACCAAUUUAUCUCACUAAGAAGGAUUGUCUGUUUAUGAAACCAUAGCCAUGAAGCUCCAUUUCAGUACACUGGGUGGACAAUCUAUUAUGGGAUCCUCAAUGAGCCACACUGUUGCCUUUUAAAAAAAAAGGCAAUUUAUUUAGGAUCCGCUAGAAAAGCUUUGAGAGACAGCGUUGUUGUUUUGUUAUUUUGUUCCAUUUUUAAUACAGAAAAAACAUUGACAGUAUAAAACCUAUUAUUUCAAUAAGCUUUUUUUUGACAAGCAUACACAUUCGGCAUUUGGCUAGGUUAGAAAUGCAUGCAAUUUGAUUUUGGCUUUCAUCCAGAUAAGCCAUUAGGAUUUGAUCUCCUGCUGUUUUACGUGUCAUGCUGAAAUGUCAAAAAGUGAAACAAAAAUAUAGGCGUUGAUUUACAAAAGACUCUCACUGAUGGGGGAUAUGAUGAAAUAGAUUUUUUUUUUUUAAAUGUACUCCAGUCCAAGUGGCAAUGCUCUUUGAGAAUAGGGCAAAACAAUAUGUAAUGCUUUAUAUUUUGCCCAAACUAUUCAGAAUUUGAGUAAGAAUAAGUUAUUAUAUUAAUAGCAUUUAUCUAUUAUAUAUUUAAAUUGACAGAAAAGUGAAAUGAGUUGGAUAGCACUGAAAUGUCUGUCAUGAGAAAUCAAAUUUAUCAAACUAAGAAUUUCCCUGCCAGUUUUGUUUCUCUUUCUCUCUCCGCCCACAUAAGCAAAGGUGGAUCUCCUUGCAGCAGUAAGGCGCCUGAACAAUUUUUUUGCAGGAAAAAGAUCCAUCAUGAUUGAAUCAUUCUGAGGGGUUUGGGAUGCAAGCAGUCACAGCAUGUGUUAGAGUGGGUGGACAGAGAGCGGGGUCAACAAGAGGUUACGGCUGCAUCUAAAUGAAAGUCAGAGCUUGGGUUGAGACGCUGCUGCAGAGCAGCGUGAAGCUUCUGUACUAGUCCUUGAGGGCUUUUGAUGCCUUUUGCAGCACCAGCUGAGCUAGGAGCUGGAUCGUGAAGCUUGCACAUUUUAACAUCGGCCAGGGAUAAUGUUGAAGGAAGAUAGGGCCUCAGUUGAGAUUGACGUAAUGUCUAGGAACCUAGGGCCUCUUUUGAGAUAGACAAAAUGUUGAUGAGGUAACAUAAGGUGUUAUUGGGGAUUUACAAAAUGGUACAAAAACAAAAGCUUUGUUAAGGAACAUAGGGAUAAGGAAACCUCGGGCUUGAUUUUGAAUCGGAAUAAAAGUACAUAGGAGAAUUAGAACAAAACCGGAAUGGACAAAAAGUCCAUGAUGGAACAUAGAGCUGAGGAAACAUGGGAAUGAGGAGAAAAAUGAUAUAGGUGUUGAGGGGACAUAUUGGCAAAGUAAUACAGGACUUAACCAAAUGCAACAACUCAGUUGUAACAAUACCUGCAUUUGACAUCACACAACCCCAACGUCAACCGGUGUCAUCCAAAAAUAGUAAAACAUUUAUAAUUGUUUCACAUAUAUACAUAUAUAUAUAUAUAUAUAUCACUUCAUCAAAACUGGAUUCUUUGCCAUUUAGCGUUUUUGGAACUGAACUCGUGACUUGUAUUUCACCCAUAUUACACGUAGUGUGCCAUGCUUACAUCAUGCCUGGUAGAUUGCUGUGACUCCCUGUUGUGGCCCUUGAUGGAGGUGUACACUCUGGAGAAUCGUGACAUGAGAUCAGGGUAAAGUACACAUGCUGCAGUAUUGCUGUAGCAGAUGUAAAGAUGAAGAGGCCAGCAGCCUCUAAGGUCCUGUAGAGGAAGUCAACGUGUCAGUUUGAUUUUCUAUGAACACAUCUCUGUUACUGCACUAAGUGCUCCCGCUGUAAAUCCAGCAAAGUAGAAUGACAUCUGUGCACAGCUUGGCCCAAGGCACACAGUAUUUUAUCUCCUGCUUCCAGGUAUGUCACGGAGGGCCAUACAUUAUGUGACUUGACCCUGGUUAACAAACAUAUUUCAUGUUUUUUUUUUGCAUUUUUACAUCAAUUUGAGCAUACAAGUCAACGGCACUGGCCAUAAGUGAUAUUUUUUUAGAGCAAUAUCAUGCAAGAACAUCUGUUUUUUAUAUAGCAUUUCAGGUACAUUUCAUGUUACACAAAUGUACAAUUUUUAUAUAUAUAUAUUUUAUAAAUAUCUGAUUAAUAUUCAAAAUCUGUAUUUAUUGAUCCAUAUCAAAACACACAAUUAUGAAGAUUGUGGGUGCCAAAUUUUACUAUACUUGAAAUCAAUUGAUUUUUUCUAUUUCUUUCUUGAGGUUUUAAUAUGAGAUAGUCUGAUGGAGUUGCUAAUAAAAUAGCCUGAACCUGUCAGAAUACAUUACAUACUGUACAGCAUAUAGCCAUGACAGUGAUGGUGUGUGAUAGAUAGAUAGUAACACCAGUGUAAUGGAGAAUCCCUUCCAUAAGUGGCGCAUGGAGUAGAGAGGGUGCGCCGGGAAUCGCAGGGUUGGCGGUUUGAAACCUGACUGCUCCAUGUCCCAUGUCGAAGUGUCCCUGAGGAAGACACCAAACACCUAACUGCUCCCCGGGCGCCUUUACGGCAGCCAGCUCUUUCCACUGUGUGGGUGGGAUAGAUGAGAUAACAAUUUGCAUGCAUGUCUAAUUUAAUACUUAAACAAUAAAAAUGGCGUCUUCUACUACAGUCUUAUUUCACCUAAUGACUUAGAGGACUAACAUGAGUCUUUUAUAACUCUUUUGUUUGUUUGGCCUGCUUGAGUGUGUAGACAUCAGAAUGAUGGAUUGUGGCUUUAGUAUUUUAUUCCCUGUCAUAUUUGUUAAAAAAAAAUAAAAACAGCAUACAAGGCAUAGAACUAAAUGGUUUGAUGAUAAUUAAUUAGUAGUUCAUUAUUCUGGAGUGCUACAUCUUGUAGUUCUUGUAAUUGAGUAAGUGUUCUUGUUUUCUGGGUUGCUUUUGCAGUUUAGAACUUGAGCGUUUCAUUUUUCUGUUUCAGUCAAAACUGAAGCUGCUAAAAUAUUCUCUCUAUGGACAUAUUUCUGGCAGAAAAUGUUAAAUUACAUUGAGUCUUAGAUGAUAUAACUAAUUUGAUUUCUUUGCUGCAACACUGCAGCCGAGUUGUCCAACUCAGAGCUACCAUUUAAUGUUUGAAUGAGAUGCACCACACUUCCAAUUAAUCCUUUCCCAUAUGUAUUAAAUGGUCAAAGCAACUGUCGUGGUUUAAAGAGGGGAAAUUGGCUCAAAACACAGGACUUUUACCAAAAGGGCCCUCGUGAGACAAUCUCUGCCCACUGAUAGUUUUUCUUAUGCGAGUUGUUACUAGAACAGUAGUGCAAGCAGCAGAUAACAAACCCAGCCCCUUACAUGUCCUGUAUCCAGAGAGGCCAAUCACAAAUGUUUCCUACAUGCAUGGGCACACACAACAAUGCCCAGUUGGGAUAGCACCGGAGUUUUUCUCUCCCAGGAUUCCACUUUAUUAUAGUUUUGUCAUGUAAUUUACAUGACCAAUUUACACUUACCAUUAGCACAGUUUAUUUGUUUUAAACAACAAACUUAAGUUUAUUUUUAAAAAGGUGCUAAAUAUAUGACAAGCAGAAGCUGCUAUUUUGUCUGUGAUCCCAGAGAGGUACCAAGAGUGCCACCACUGACUAAAUGUUGGUAUUUGAUAAGUUAGAGAAUAUGUUGGUCCCCACCACUGACAGUUACAUUUUAAUUCAUUACAUGUACAACAACAUUGCCAGUAAUUGGAGUAACAAUGUAAAAUGUGUCCUUUGGAAUGACAUAACCCAAGAGGUAAGCCAACCAUCUUCUGUGAGACAUUAAUGUGCUGAUUAUGUUAGCAGAUACAUUGUUGUAAUUAAAAUCGUGCACCGCAGAAUAGUAACAUAUUUGGGAAACCUAUAAGAAUCCAAAACUGGUUACUUAAAAUUUGCAAUAACAUUACUAUAUUAACAGAUAGCACUUUGAUUCAUCACUCAUGGAUUCUUUUUGGAUUGCAUGCCAGUUUAAUAAAGAAAUCUAGAUUUGCUAAGCUCCAAGGUUAAUGAAUCCCUUAUCAAAUCUUUUGUCUCGCCUCGCUCUGUAUUUAGCAAUGUGCCAAACAUUCAGGUCAGCGGGCCACUUAUUUUUAGCGAGCGACAGAUCAUAUCUACAUCACCUAAUUAGUGAUAUAGCUGACAACUUUCAGGUGAGAGAAGCACCACUCAAUGUACUCACAAGUUGAAGUUGCGUUUUUAUGGUGGAUUAAGUUUAAAAUGAGUGUUGCGUCUUCUCUAGAGAAACAAAUCCUAGUUGUAUUUUUCCCAGUUCGCAGAUAUUGUGUUAAUAAUUAAUAUUUAAGAAUAUCAAUCAAGCCAGAAUCCGGGCCUCCAGUGUUGGGUUCAAGUAGCUGUUGAAAAGACAUAACAGAUGUACCGGACAUAUACACUUGUAUUUAAUCAGCAUUUGCUGCAUUUUAUAAUUUACAGAUUGGGAUCGUUUAAUAGGCUGCUAUUCAAAUCUUUAAUAUGUUUGCUUUACCAUUCAAAUCUUUCUUUCAAAGGGAUUUGUUCAGAAAUGUUAUGCUGGAUUCAAAUGAGAAACGGCCACGGAAUCGCAGCCCUAAUUAUAUGUUGAUGUAAAUAUCCAGGACUCAGGUGGAAAGAUUGAGGUUACAACAAUCAGGGUCCAUGAAUAUUAAAAGGCAAUCUGCUGAGGAGCUGUUCAGACAUCUCAAUAUGGACGGAUGACCAAACGCCCUAUCGAUAAAAACUGCAGUUUAUAUGCCCUGGUGCUAUCAGAGAAACAAACCCUUUGUAAUAAUUGUAACAUCCGCUAACAAUCAUCGUGCUGUAAUAAUCUACAGCCUUCAACAGGGCAGCAUUUAGUCAGCUUUAAGGGAAACCAAAUUCACUGGGCAGAUGGUGUAUCAUUUAUUUGUUAUCCAGUAUAGCACAUCUCCAUUUUCCUGCUUGACGAAGCUGUGGCAGAUUUUUUUCUGGAGCGAGGAUACCUGUGAAGUCAGAGACAGGCUUCGCUGGGAUGUGAUACUGUUCCACCCGAGCACAGCUACUGCUUGUGCUGCCAGCUCUGAGGUGUCGAUGAAGGCUCUGGUCCAAAACUUUUUACAUAACUGACUUUGUUCCAAAAGCCGAUCUGCUGUUUUUUUUCUUUGUGUCCCAGCAGGUUGCUUUUGGCAGUGACAAAAAAAGAAAUAAGGCCUAUAACAGUCAUGGGUUUACAUAAUCCCAAAAAAAGAAAAAGUGACAGAGUAACGGUUCUUUUAGGGAUACAUCCAAACAUUUUUUUGAUUUGUCUCUGACAGUUAAUAAUGGAGGAUUAUUGGGGGAGUUUGCUGUACUCGCUCAGGUUGUCUCAUUGCUAUUGCAUGGGUAACCGUAAAAUGCAGAUUAGAACUAAAACCGUUCAAGCAUGCCCAGCCUGCCUCACAGCCAUCACACAGUAUGUGUCCCAUGAAGCAUUUUCCCCAUUCACUUUACACACUUUACCUGCACAUCCAGUAGGCUCAUGUAAAUGACCUGCUUACUGACUUGGGUAAGAAAACACAGUCUAGGAUCAAUGAUUUCAAAGAGUAAUAUUUAGAAAGGCUUAGUUCUGUCAGAGAUGCAGUAACACUAAGUAACCCCACAACGUAGUUAAGUAGACUUCAAUGCAAAAGCAAAGCUUUAACAUACAUUUUCAAGAACAGUGGUCUCAUGGGUGGAGGUCCAUGUGUCUUUAGACCCCAACAUCCAUCCAACUCCCCCAAACGAUGUCUUUAUGUGAAACCUAAAUGAUUCCGUUACUCCAGCCAUAACUCCGGGACAAGUUUUAAUUUUGCUUUGCCACUGACCAACCCACUGUAUUUAAAAGGGCUGAAGUGAGAACCUUAGUCUAAGUGUGCGACCACCAGCAUCACUUUACUGCAGGCUGCUUUCUUAACUCUUUAAAACUCAACUUCGUAAGACAUUGGUGUCAGCCAAAGUAAGUGGAGGUUUUUCAUUUCCCUGUGUGGCCUAGCAAGUUACUGGGUGACUGAGCCAUGACAGAGGACCUUCACAACAGAGAGAAAAAUCAUUAUGUACCCAAUUCAACUGAAAUUUCUCAAUAUUAUUUGGGGUUAAAUGACCUGCUACUUUUCUGUUUAGCUUCAGCAUCGAAGCUCUCAUUCCAAUAGAAACUGUGCGAGAAAGGUCUUAUACAUAGCACACAAACACAGUCCGAGGAAAGCAGAUUAAAAUACAGCAGCAAUUAGCAGCUAAAGAGCCAGACAUUUUUCUCACAUUAAACCAGAGCUAAAGAGGAACAUUUGUUAAGAAGCACCUCUUGUGUGCAGGAAAUAUAAAUAUGCAGAUUAACAAUGUAAUUUUUAAAAUGCUGUAAUAUAUCAAUGCUUUUCAGUUUGUAGCCGCGUUGAGCUCCGCCCCAAAGAGGCAGAGUUGACAAAAACUGAAUAAUGCACUUUUAAGCUUCAGUUUAUAUUACUUUACUUCAGUUGAGCUGAUGUGUAUACAAAUCACACUAAAAAAUAAUUUACAUAAGAAAAUGCCCUCAAACAUUUGCUGUCAUCGUCAAACUGAAAAGAAAGAUCAAGGGACAAAUCUAUUUAAACAAGGCUAAAUGUGAAGCGCUCAGGAGAAGUUGCUAUUUACCUGGCAAACGUGUUGAAGAGAUGUGUUUACAAUAGUACACUGAUUGACACCGGUGCAGAGCAGCUGUUUGGUCCAACAUGAGAACAAUUAAUAGGGACUCUUUGUUUUGCUCUGCAAACUGAGUCCCAGAGUGGUCCUGUAAAAUGUGGUACAAUAUUUGACGUGCUAAUACUGUUUUGAGUGAUCAUCAAUCCCCACUGCGACCACAUAAGUGGGUAAACAAAUAUGAAUUGUGUGCGGUAUAAACACUUUGUGUGCGGUAUAAACACUUUGGAGAGCCCUCGGGAGGUUCCAGUGACACUUUAUGCACGUACAUGCUGCAGCUCAGCUUCAGUCUCUUCAGUUGCAUUUUAGACAGGCCAAGCUUGGACUGUAAUUGUGUUUAACAUGGGCUGAUAUGGUAUCAUGAUUGCAUGCUAUAAAUAUAUUCUGUAUGUUCAUAAGUUAUAUUAACCCAAGUGCAUACUCUUUACAGUUUUUUGCUUUUUGCUUUUUUAACAUCAAUACCAAUGCACAAUGUUUGGAAUGUCUCCUUUGCAUGUUUGUUUCAACACCAUUGUUGUUUCGUUUGCCUGAUAGUUUACAGACCAGUCCGGUAUUACAGAAAUGUUUGACCAAACUGAGUUGGUGAAAGCAAGUGCCUAUAUAUGUUUCGUCUUCGGGCUGGCGAGAGUCAGUAUUUUGUGCCAGUACAACGAAUGUUUGAAUUUAUAACAUUUAAAAGAACUACAGGCAGUGUAUUCUAUGAAAUGCCGUUUUAGUCAAAAUUAAAUAAAUUAAUAAAUACGUAAAUGCAUGAAAUAUGCAUUUGAAAUGCAUCAUGAAAUAAAUGAGGCAAUAAAUACAUAAAUAUUAAAUACAUUUAAUUAUUUCAUGGUACUUUUAUUUCAUGAUGCCACUUUUCAUUUCCAGAGUCUUUUAUUUCAUAAUGCCACUUUUAAUUUUUAGAGUCUUUUAUUUCAUAAUGCCAUUUUUCAUUUCCAGAGACUUAUUUGAUAAUGCCGUUUUACAUUUCACGUUCUUAUAUGCAAAUCAGGGGGCGUGGCUACAUCUAACAUUCAGAAAAGACAACAGAGCCGUGUGCAAAAGAAGGCUGGCUAAUGGACGUGAGUGAUGAUAUAAUGGAAAACAUCAGUGGGCUCGAAGCAGAAUGCUAGCAUUAGCAGAUGAAAUCGAUCAACAUGGGUUUGUCUGCAGAUACGAUUUUGACAUAUUGAGGGUUUUUUGGAAAUACUAGGGCGGAUAAGUGCUCUUCAAGAUGUAUACAUAGACGACGAAGUUUUAAAUUGUUUAAGACUGAUUGAGCACCGCGUGCGUGUGGAAGAGGUCCAAGUUGAAGAAGUCAACAUCAGCGCUGGUACUACAAGCACAGGUGCUGGACGCCUGCCUCUGGAUAUUCCUGGCGACAAGCUGGCUAACUUUGUGUUGUCCGGUCUAUCAACCCGAGAAAUCCAAUAUCAAGGAAUAUCCAGAGGCGGGCGUCCAGCACCUGUGCUUGUAGUACCAGCGCUAAUCUCACGUCCCUUAGCCAGCCUUCUUUUGCACACGGCUCUGUUGCAGCUAAAGAGCCAGACAUUUUUCUCACAGCAAACCAGAGCUAAAGAGAAACAUUUUUUAAGAAGCACCUCUUGUGUGCAGGAAAUAUAAAUAUGCAGAUUAACAAUGUCAUUUUUAAAAUGCUGUAAUAUAUCAAUGUUUUUCAGUUUGUAGCCGCGUUGAGCUCCGCCCCAAAGAGGCAGAGUUGACAAAAGCUGAAUAAUGCACUUUUAAGCUUCAGUUUAUAUAACUUUACUUCAGUUGAGCUGAUGUGUAUACAAAUCACACAAAAAAGCCUUCUUUUGCACACGGCUCUGUUGUCUGUUCUGAAUGUUAGAUGUAGCCACGCCCCCUGAUUUGCAUAUAAGAACGUGAAAUGUAAAACGGCAUUAUGAAAUAAGUCUCUGGAAAUGAAAAGUGGCAUUAUGAAAUAAAAGACUCUGGAAAUGAAAAGUGGCAUUAUGAAAUAAAAGUAGCCUACCAUGAAAUAAUUAAAUGUAUUUAAUAUUUAUGUAUUUAUUGCCUCAUUUAUUUAUUUCAUGAUCUAUUUCAAAUGCAUAUUUGAUGUAUUUACGUAUUUAUUCAUUUAUUUAAUUUUGACUAAAACGGCAUUCCAUAGUAUUCGUGUAUGCCUGGAAAAUUGUGAAAGAUCGGUAAUUAAAGCUAUCAAACAUAAAUCAGCCUUUAAUGUGGUAUGACCUAGCCUCAUUGGUAAUUGGGGGGGAAAACUCAGGUUGUCCUGAUUCUUUAGCCCAGGGGUCGCAAGAGGUUGAUCGCAAACGACCGUUCGGGUCACCAUGCAUGCACGGUCGACCGAGGGAGCUAACGUAAAACUUGGUAGCGCUAAUUAUCAUCCCUGCUUACUGACGGACACAUGUCAUUUCAUUCAAAAGUAACCAUAGCUGACUCCAAUCAGUGCAAGUCAUCCAAGUAUGGUAAUAUCAGGACCGGGGAGGCGAGGCAGGAAGUAGGGGUCAAACGCAAAGUUUGUGACAAAAACGAUACUUUUAAUAAAUCUAAAAUGCCAGGGGGAAACAAACGAAGACAUGGAAUAACACAGACGGUGAACAGGGACUUGCAUCACACAGGGACCAGGUUCAGGGUAGAUGUUCCAGGCAUAACAUGAAGGAUUAAACGAUCAAUGACGUGACAAGGGACAAGAUACACACAUGGCUUGAAUACACUGGGAAGGUGCGGGUGAUUGGACACAGGUUGAAACAAUCAUGGACAUGUCACUGGGUGUACGAUUGGGGACCCUUGAUUGCAUGCACAAUUGAUU